rnacentral:rRNA from 1 species
CCCUUAGAUGUUCUGGGCCGCACGCGCGCCACACUGAUGCAUUCAACGAGUCCAACCUUGACCGAGAGGUCCGGGUAAUCUUUGAAACUGCAUCGUGAUGGGGCUAGAUUAUUGCAAUUAUUAAUCUUCAACGAGGAAUGCCUAGUAAGCGUGAUUCAUCAAAUCGCGUUGAUUACGUCCCUGCCCUUUGUACACACCGCCCGUCGCUCCUACCGAUUGAGUGUGUUGGUGAGGAGUUUGGAUUGGCCUCGGAAGGUGGUUCGCCACCGUCCGUAGCUGAGAAGUUCUCCAAACCGCCCCACUUAGAGGAAGGAGAAGUCGUAACA